rnacentral:rRNA from 1 species
GACGAACCGUGCAAACGUUAUUCGGAAUCACUGGGCGUAAAGCGCACGUAGGCGGAUCUUUAAGUCAGGGGUGAAAUCCCGGGGCUCAACCUCGGAACUGCCUUUGAUACUGCAAAUCUCGAGUCCGGAAGAGGUGAGUGGAAUUCCUAGUGUAGAGGUGAAAUUCGUAGAUAUUAGGAAGAACACCAGUGGCGAAGGCGGCUCACUGGUCCGGUACUGACGCUGAGGUGCGAAAGCGUGGGGAGCAAACAGGG